GCGACGUUGUUUUUUCUGAAAUCAUAUUGGGAUUAUUUUCCUUGAAAAUAAUUAGGGUUCUUGAGUUAUUUUGAAAAAAGAUUAGCUUUACUUGAAACAAGGAAGCAAGCGGUGCUACACCUGCUGGUAUGACUUGGGAUGCUACUCCUAAGCUUUCUGGGAUGGCCACCCCAACUCCUAAGAGGCAAAGAUCAAGAUGGGAUGAAACCCCUGCUAUUAUGGGAAGCGCUACUCCAUUGCCUGGUGCUACUCCUGCUGUUGCUUAUACUCCUGGUGUUACCCAUGUUGGUGGUAUUGAAUAGUACAAUUUGUUGAGGUGAGAGAAGGAUAUUGAGGAGAGGAAUCGUCAAGGGACGGAUGAGGAGCUUGAUGCUAUGUUUCCCCAAGAGGGGUAUGAGAUUUUGGAGCCCCCUGCUUCCUAUGUGCCCAUUAGGACGCCUGCUAGGAAGUUUCUUAUUACUCCUACUCCGUUGGUGACCCCUCUCUAUCAAAUUCCUGAAGAAAAUCGUAGGCAACACUUUGAUGUUCCAAAGGAGGUGCCUGGUGGAGGAGUUGUCCCAAGAUGAGCAGAAGGAAAGGAAAACUGAUUAUUUUUAAUUGAUGAAAGAUAACUAAAGAAUCCUGAUUAUUUUCAAAUAAAAAAAAUUUCUAAUUUGAUUUCAGAAAAAAAAAAAAAACGUGACACACAUCUAAUCUGAUUUCAUAUAAAUGCUGAGAUCAUGACACAUAGUUAGUCAUUCCAUAGAAGAUUUAAUGUUACAUUUUCAAAACUAAAAAUACAAGUUUUCUAAUUAAAAUGAACAAAUCUUUUAAAGAGAAAUGAAACACAAAAAAAACAUGAUACUAAAAAUAUAUUUAACAGAAAAAUUAAAA